UUUAUAUAUGGACUGUUCUUGAAUGUGUAUCAUUGAUCCAAGUGACGAAGACCGAGAAGCAAACGAAGAUGCUGCGUUUAAUCUUUGCUGCGUUUGUUGUUACCAACGCUAUCGCAGCUCCAGCCAAAACUGCUGCAGAGGAGGGUUAUGCUACUGAUCAAAAUGGCGCCGCCUUGAGUCCGAUUUCUGCUGCCCAUCCUAAUUUCUUUAUGAUUAAUGGUGAUGGCAAGAGAAGGCCCAGGAAGAUUGAUGGAAAUGGAGAUUUUGAAAUUGAAGGUUUGGAUCACAGAAGACGCAGAGUGGUUGAUGAAAAUUACGCCGGUAUAAUUAAGAAUGGUGCUCUCUUUCCAGCUCAGAGAGCUUAACCUGGCUUACCAAAGAUAUCGAUGACUAUAUGGACCUUCAUGUAAAAGAUUAUGAACGAUUGAUUAACAGGUCCUAUCUCAUUCCUAAUAGUAAUGUAAUAUCGUACGUCAUUCAAUUGU